GACGAACGCUGGCGGCGUGCUUAACACAUGCAAGUCGAACGGAAAGGCCCUGCUUUUGUGGGGUGCUCGAGUGGCGAACGGGUGAGUAACACGUGAGUAACCUUCCCUUGACUUUGGGAUAACUUCAGGAAACUGGGGCUAAUACCGGAUAGGAGCUCCUGCUGCAUGGUGGGGGUUGGAAAGUUUCGGCGGUUGGGGAUGGACUCGCGGCUUAUCAGCUUGUUGGUGGGGUAGUGGCUUACCAAGGCUUUGACGGGUAGCCGGCAUGAGAGGGUGACCGGCGACAUGGGGACUGAGAGACGGCCCAGACUCCUACGGGAGGCAGCAGUGGGGAAUAUGGCACAAUGGGCGGAAGCCUGAUGCAGCAGCGCCGCGUGCGGGAUGACGGCCUUCGGGUUGUAAACCGCUUUCGCCUGUGACGAAGCGUGAGUGACGGUAAUGGGUAAAGAAGCACCGGCUAACUACGUG
rnacentral:rRNA from 1 species